rnacentral:rRNA from 1 species
AUUGAACGCUGGCGGCAUGCUUUACACAUGCAAGUCGAACGGUAACAGGGUGCUUGCACCGCUGACGAGUGGCGAACGGGUGAGUAAUGCGUCGGAACGUGCCGGGUAGUGGGGGAUAACGCAGCGAAAGUUGUGCUAAUACCGCAUACGUACUGAGGUAGAAAGGGGGGGACCUUCGGGCCUCACGCUAUUCGAGCGGCCGACGUCUGAUUAGCUAGUAGGUGAGGUAAAGGCUCACCUAGGCGACGAUCAGUAGCGGGUCUGAGAGGAUGAUCCGCCACACUGGGACUGAGACACGGCCCAGACUCCUACGGGAGGCAGCAGUGGGGAAUUUUGGACAAUGGGCGAAAGCCUGAUCCAGCCAUGCCGCGUGUCUGAAGAAGGCCUUCGGGUUGUAAAGGACUUUUGUCGGGGAGGAAAUCCCCAGCGUUAAUACCGCUGGGGGAUGACAGUACCUGAAGAAUAAGCACCGGCUAACUACGUGCCAGCCGCCGCCGUAAAAC